CAUGCNNGUCGAACGGUAACAUUUCUAGCUUGCUAGAAGGUGACGAGUGGCGGACGGGUGAGUAAUGCUUGGGAACUUGCCUUUGCGAGGGGGAUAACAGUUGGAAACGACUGCUAAUACCGCAUAAUGUCUUCGGACCAAACGGGGCUUCGGCUCCGGCGCAAAGGGAGGCCCAAGUGAGAUUAGCUAGUUGGUAAGGUAACGGCUUACCAAGGCGACGAUCUCUAGCUGUUCUGAGAGGAAGAUCAGCCACACUGGGACUGAGACACGGCCCAGACUCCUACGGGAGGCAGCAGUGGGGAAUAUUGCACAAUGGGGGAAACCCUGAUGCAGCCAUGCCGCGUGUGUGAAGAAGGCCUUCGGGUUGUAAAGCACUUUCAGUUGUGAGGAAAAGUUAGUAGUUAAUACCUGCUAGCCGUGACGUUAACAACAGAAGAAGCACCGGCUAACNNNNNGCCAGCAGCCGCGGUAAUACGGAGGGUGCGAGCGUUAAUCGGAAUUACUGGGCGUAAAGCGCACGCAGGCGGUUUGUUAAGCUAGAUGUGAAAGCCCCGGGCUCAACCUGGGAUGGUCAUUUAGAACUGGCAGACUAGAGUCUUGGAGAGGGGAGUGGAAUUCCAGGUGUAGCGGUGAAAUGCGUAGAUAUCUGGAGGAACAUCAGUGGCGAAGGCGACUCCCUGGCCAAAGACUGACGCUCAUGUGCGAAAGUGUGGGUAGCGAACAGGAUUAGAUACCCUGGUAGUCCACACCGUAAACGCUGUCUACUAGCUGUGUGUGCCUUUANNGNGUGCGUAGCGAANCUAACGCGCUAAGUAGACCGNCNGGGGAGUACGGCCGCA
rnacentral:rRNA from 1 species